GCGCGUGCGCGCGAGAAAGAAUGGGGAAAGUAAUAGAUACUCGAAAGGCUGACUGGGUUGAUGAAUGGAAUUCCCCUCCGUAAUUUUUGGAGUCAUAAUUUUUGCCCCUUGGACUGUGCUUCUUGAAGUGCAGCGUGCCUGGAGCCCGGGCCGUGGGGCCACUCGGCUACGGAUGCUAUGUGAUCUAACCAGGACCCAGGAAGGGGCCCUCUGGCUGCAGUGAGAGAGGGGUACACGGGGCGACACGCAGUGUUCUCAGGAGGGCGGCACAGCUGCUGCAGGUCUUGUUUUCCAGAGCUAUCUCCAACUUUGCCACCUGAGAAACACAAGUCCAAGUCCAAUACUUACAGAAGAAAUAACUAUUCCACCUAGUCAAGGAACUAGCCAACACUUAAUGGAGGAUUGCCCUUGGUUAUAGAGCUAACUGCAAAUGAAGUAACUAGAGGAAGACCAUUUACCUUCUCCAUUGAAGAGACCAUUCAAGAGCCAACUCAGCAAUCAGGGUCUAGCAGUGUUACUGACUGGAUGACUGGCACUUAGAGUCCAGCACCCUGCUGAGAAACCAGCAACCCAUGUGAGGAUUCCAUGGCCAACUGAGAUCACAAGACUCUUGAACAGAAGAAAUGCCAAGAGAGCUAGAAUCUUACAGAUGGUGGUAUUAAUAAUGGAGCAAACUAGAACCAAUGACAAAGACAUGAAGUCUGAAAAUAGCACAGAGAAUAUAAAUAUUGUGAGAUGAAUGUUCCCCCUUCAAUUCUCCUUAUUUGCCAAAUAUUUUCAUUUCCUUUUGUCAUUAUAGAAAAUAAAACCAUGCAUCACAGUCAAAAGUGCUCCACUAGCAACAUUGUAUGAUUCACUCUUUUUGUCAUACAUGUCUUUAGUAAUUGAUGGAUAUUAAAAUCACACAGACUAUUUAAUAAGGGCUUAUUUUACUUGCAUCGCCACUUUGAUUCAAAAAAAGAUUUAAGGUAGUUAAUAAGGUUAGAAGGAAAGAGAGUUAACAAAGACAAGAACUUUAACUAGAGUCAAAACUAAAGUCAAUAUUUAAGAAAUAAACACCACAUAGUCUCCCACGCUUUCUC
rnacentral:lncRNA from 1 species